rnacentral:rRNA from 1 species
UGCAGUCGACGACCUUUCGGGGUUAGUGGCGGACGGGUGAGUAACACGUGGGAACGUGCCUUUAGGUUCGGAAUAACUCAGGGAAACUUGUGCUAAUACCGAAUGUGCCCUUCGGGGGAAAGAUUUAUCGCCUUUAGAGCGGCCCGCGUCUGAUUAGCUAGUUGGUUGAGGUAAUGGCUCACCAAGGCGACGAUCAGUAGCUGGUCUGAGAGGAUGAUCAGCCACAUUGGGACUGAGACACGGCCCAAACUCCUACGGGAGGCAGCAGUGGGGAAUCUUGCGCAAUGGGCGAAAGCCUGACGCAGCCAUGCCGCGUGAAUGAUGAAGGUCUUAGGAUUGUAAAAUUCUUUCACCGGGGACGAUAAUGACGGUACCCGGAGAAGAAGCCCCGGCUAACUUCGUGCCAGCAGCCGCGGUAAUACGAAGGGGGCUAGCGUUGCUCGGAAUUACUGGGCGUAAAGGGAGCGUAGGCGGACAUUUAAGUCAGGGGUGAAAUCCCGGGGCUCAACCUCGGAAUUGCCUUUGAUACUGGAUGUCUUGAGUAUGAGAGAGGUGUGUGGAACUCCGAGUGUAGAGGUGAAAUUCCGUACAUAUUUCGGAAAGAACACCGUUGACGAAGGCGACACACUUGCUCAUUACUGAACGCUGAGGUUCGAAAAGCGUGAGC